GAUGAACGCUGGCGGCGUGCCUAAUACAUGCAAGUCGAGCGGACAGACGAGGAUUUUGCUCCUCUUAUGUUAGGGGCGGACGUGUGAGUCACACGUGUAUAACCGACCUAUAAGACUGAGAUAACUUCGGGAAAGCGGAUCUAAUACCGUAUAACAUGUUGAACCGCAGUGUUCAACGGUAAAAUACGGUCUUGCUGUCACUAAUAGAGGCAUCCGCGCCGGAUUAGCUAGUUGGUAGGGUAACGGCCUACCAAGGCAACGAUGCGUAGCCGAUGUGAGAGGGUGAUCGGCCACACUGGAACUGAGACACGGACCAGACUCCUACGGGAGGCAGCAGUAGGGAAUGUUACGCAAUGGGCGAAAGCCUGACGCAGCAACGCCGAGUGAGUGAAGAAGGUCUUCGGAUCGUAAAGCUCUGUUACUAGGGAAGAACAACUGUGGAAGUAGAUAUGGCCGUCUUGACGGUACCUAGUCAGAAAGCACCGGCUAACUACGUG
rnacentral:rRNA from 1 species